UACAUCAGCAACAGUGUUUAGGGGACAGAAGAUUGUGUGCGCGCGCGUGUGAGUGGGAGGAGGAGGAGGAGGAGGAGGAAGGUGCAGAGAGGGAGGAAUUAUGAACGAUCGCUGAGCAGUAAUGAUUAAUGGUCGCUGUCCUAAGACAGUGCUGAAGACUUCAGAAGAGUAAGGGCUAUGAACAGGCUUCCCCUUUUUUGAGUGGGACUGACAGCAAAUGAAUAUGUACAGUAAAAGAAGCCUGGAACAUGGAUUUUCAGUUUCUUUGUGGUGGUGGCCUGCGCCACCUCCA